ACCGGAGCUAAUACCGGAUAAUAUUUUGAACCGCAUGAUUCAAAAGUGAAAGACGGUCUUGCUGUCACCUAUAGAUGGAUCCGCGCUGCAUUAGCUAGUUGGUAAGGUAACGGCUUACCAAGGCAACGAUGCAUAGCCGACCUGAGAGGGUGAUCGGCCACCCUGGAACUGAGACACGGUCCAG
rnacentral:rRNA from 1 species